rnacentral:lncRNA from 1 species
GACUCUGCAGCUGGACCCCAUGCUGCAGAGCAUGUGGCUGCUCAGGGGCCACCUCAGCCAGACCCGGGUCGCCUCCUGGGCAGGGAGCCUCACCGGCCAGUGUCCUGGCUCUGUUGCAGAAUGCGGGGCUACAUGUGACAGCUGCUUCAGCCAGGACUUCUGCAUCCGCUGCAAGAGACGAUUCUUUCUGCACAAGGGGAAGUGUCUGCCCACCUGCCCACCAGGCACCUUGACCCACCAGAGCACCCGGGAGUGCCAGGAUGACCACACCUAUAAACCCUCAAAAGACAAACAGCAGGCCUGAAGAAGGCUAGAUAGACAUCAGUCACCUUCCAAAGACUUCUGGACCCAUCAUGUCUGAGAAGAAGUCUUUGUCCUUUCCAUGCACACUUGUUUCCCAAUUGAACCCCUAUUACCUAAGUGACUAUACUUGUAGCCUUAUUGGUCAAUCAUAGCUGUAGCCCACAUUGUACCCAUGUGGGUUUCACUCUAUAAAACUUGCCUGUAAAGUGGAGUCCCUGGCUACCCAUUCUGCCUCUCAGGAGCUGUGUCUUUCCCCUCAAU